AUGGACUCGUGCGAGUCUUUUGCUUGGACUUGCGAGUCUUUUGACUGGACUCGUGUGACCCAAAAAACAUGCCCAACAAGCUAAUAAAGUGUUUUUUUUAACUUUUUUCAUUCAUUUGGGUUUGUUUCUUGGUCAAAACAGGUUUGUAGGGUUUGAAGGAGGAGAGGAAACAAGACUAAAUUAGCAAAAGAGAUCUAGGCAAGGAUUUUUCCUCUUUUUUUUUUCAUUUCCAUGUUUUGAAAAUCCAAAAAAUCUUGAAAAAUAAGGGGAUAUGUUGCCAAAACUUUCUCUAUUUCCCUUCCUAACUUAUUUCCUUAUAUUUUUUUCUUGUUUUUGAAUGCUCUUUUUUUCCAAAUGAUUCAUUAUCAUUUUUUUUGUUGGUUUUCCACAAAACCUUGCUGAUUUUUUUAUUUUUUCAUGUUAAAACGGCAAUGGCAAGUUCAACUCCAACUCCAAGGGCAACCCCAAAGCCAAGAAGACAAAACAACAAAGCAUGGAAGUACGGGAUUCCAGGAAACAAAAAGGGGGAGGUCACUUGCACCGAAUGUACGAAAUUGAUGACUGGUGGAAUCAAUAGAUUAAAUUACCACCUUGCACAAAUGCUUGGAUAUGGUGUGGACAUAUGCCCCAAAUCAACUCCAAAGAUUAUUAGAGAGAUGAAGGUCCUUCUUGCUGAGCAUGAUAUGCAAAAGGAAGAAAGGCAAAAAACAAAAGAAGCCAUAGCAACGCAAUGAAUCCCACAUUGUCCACUUCGAGUUCCAUUGGUCACACUCGUGGUCGUGGAAGCCCAAAUUUACGUCAGUCACUUUCAUCUUUUGGUGACAAUAGGGGUGAGGCUAGUGACACUCCUGUUAGAUCAAACCCUAUUUUUUUUGUACCACGCAAUGUUCCAGGUGCACAACCUUCACUUGAAGGUAUAGGAUGGAAUAGAGAGAAGCAUGAACAAGCAAGGAUAGCAGCAUCAAACUUUUGGUUUUACAAUAAUAUACCUUUCAAUACAACAAACAAUGUGUAUUGGGAAGGUUUGGUUAAUGCAUUAAUAGUUGCGGGUAAGGGGUUUAAGGCCCCAACAUGUCAUGACUUCAGUGGACCAUUGCUGGAGCAAGCUGUAAGAAAUACACAAGUUGUGGUUGAUGAUCAAAAAAGAUAUCGGAGGAGAAAAGGAUGCAACAUUUUAUCGGAUGGAUGGACAGAUGGACGGAAUAGGACUCUUCUCAACUUCUUGGUGGCUUCAAAUGGUUCAAUGGUAUUCCUAAAGUCUUUAGAUGCCUCAAAUGAAAUUAAAAAUGUAGACUUUGUGUAAUCUAUUGGAUGGGGUGAUUCAGGAAGUUGGAGUUGAGAAUGUUAUCUAAUCUAUUGGAUGGGGUGAUUCAAGAAGUUGGAGUUGAGAAUGUUGUCCAAAUUAUCACGGACAACGCAGUUGCAUAUGUAUCUGUAGGCAGAAUGCUUAUGGAGAGGCAUCCUACGAUUACAUGGAGUCCUUGUGUUGCACAUUGCUUGGACUUGUUUCUAGAAAACAUUGGGAAGAUUGGAUGGGUGAAAAAGGUGGUUGAAGAUGCAAUAAGUGUCACCAAAUUCAUCUACAACCAUACUUGGGUCUUUGCUUUGAUAAGAAAACACACAAAUGGCAAGGACCUUGUGCAACCUGGAGUGACAUGAUUUGCUAGCCACUUCAUCACUUUGCAGAGCAUUCUUGGUGCCAUUCCUCAUCUUAAGAAGAGGUUUGUGUCUGACGCUUGGUUGGGGUCUGCAUACUCCAAAAGACUUGAAGUAGAGAAGAUUGUCAGCAUUGUUUUUGAUGAAGGGCUCAACAAAAGUGCAGAGGAGUUGACUGCGGUAAGUAACAAACACAAACGUAAACUUUAUACAAGAUAAUCUAUGUGCUGAUUUUAUUUCUUAGGGGUUAAUUUUGAACUAAUUUAAAAUUUGUUUUCAUUUUUUUAGGUAACAAAACCUUUUGUAAGGGUUCUUCGUAUGGUGGAUGGAGAGGGCAUGCCAAUGGGUUUCAUUUAUGAGGCCAUGGAUAGGGCCAAAGAGGACAUUUCACAUUACUAUCGUGGAAAUACAAGAAAAUGUGAAAUCCUUUGACGCAUCAUUGAUCGUAGGUGGACAAACCAACUCCACCAACUGAUACAUUCCUUCACCUACUUCUUGAACCCAAAAUUCUUCUUUUCUGAUUCAUUUAGGGUUGAUGAGGAGGUCAUGGCAAGUGUUAUUGCAUGCAUUCAUAAGAUGGCACCUGAUUCUGAGUUGAGAGACAAGGUUCUUGAUGAGUUGGAGAUCUACAAGAGUGCAGAGGGGAGGCUCUUCUCUUCACAACUAGCAAUUGAUAGGAGAGGAAAACAAGAACCAGAUUUAUUGUGGGAGAAUUAUGGUGCUAGCAUGCCUAAUCUUUAAAAGAUAGUUGUUCGUGUUUUGUCUUAGCCAUGCGGUGCUUCUUGGUGUGAAUGAAAUUGGAGUGUAUUUGAGAGCAUUCACACAAAGAAGAGAAAUAGAUUGACACAAAAGUGGCUCAAUGAUCUUGUCUUCGUUCGGUACAACCUUCGCCUUCGAGCUAGAAAGGUGGAGGGUGUUUCACAUGAGGCCAUUGACUUGGAUGAAAUUGAUCCAUAUGGUAAUUGGACCGUGAAUGAAUAAAAUGAUGGUGAUGAUGUCCUCCUUAUCGAAGAAGAACUUGCAGAAAUAGAGAGAGGAGCAGCACAAGAAGCAGAAUGAGCAAGAUUGGAUGAAAUGGAGGAGGACGAAGAUGAGGACUUUGAUUUAGAAGAAGAAUCAUCUCACCAUUUAGAUACCUCAACACCUACUUCUACUACUACUAGCUCAAGGCCUGAAAAAUUGAGCUAUAUUAGGAGAAGUACAAAGAGGAAGAUGUAGUCCUCUUUAGUUUGUUCAUUGUUGUUUUUCACAUUUGGACAUAUCAUUAUAUGUAAUUUUGUAAACAUUUAUAAACUUAUGCUGCUAUUAUACAUUUUAGAGUUUGAAACUAUGAGUAUGAAUGAUGAAAUUUCAAAUAUUGAGUGUUUGGAGAUCAUAUGACGUGUAAUGUUUCAAUUAUGGCUCUUAUGUUCUCUAAAUGCAUUAAUUUCUUUAUGUUUUUUUGUAAAACUACGGUGUUUUUUUUUGCCG